rnacentral:rRNA from 1 species
AUUGAACGCUGGCGGCAUGCCUUACACAUGCAAGUCGAACGGCAGCACGGGUGCUUGCACCUGGUGGCGAGUGGCGAACGGGUGAGUAAUACAUCGGAACGUACCUUAUCGUGGGGGAUAACGCAGCGAAAGCUGUGCUAAUACCGCAUACGCCCUGAGGGGGAAAGCGGGGGAUCGCAAGACCUCGCGCGAUUAGAGCGGCCGAUGCCUGAUUAGCUUGUUGGUGGGGUAAAAGCCCACCAAGGCGGCGAUCAGUAGCUGGUCUGAGAGGACGAUCAGCCAGACUGGGACUGAGACACGGCCCAGACUCCUACGGGAGGCAGCAGUGGGGAAUUUUGGACAAUGGGGGCAACCCUGAUCCAGCAAUACCGCGUGAGUGAAGAAGGCCUUCGGGUUGUAAAGCUCUUUUGUCAGGGAAGAAACACCGGCUCUAACACAGUCCGGGAAUGACGGUACCUGAAGAAUAAGCACCGGCUAACUACGUGCCAGCAGCCGCCGUAA